rnacentral:lncRNA from 1 species
UCUGCUGUGGGGGUGGGGCUUCGAGGUGCCUCCCACUGACCCUCCCGUCUCUCUCUGCCCCCCAGACUCCAGCCCCACCACGACGUACACGCGGGAGUUGUAUGAUUUCCCUCGUCGUGAGGGUCGCACCGGCUACCUGGGCGAUGACAUGGACACCGAGUCCUACGAAGAAUCUUCCUCCUCCUCCUCCUCCUGGCUCUAUGGGGCAGCCCCAGGUCCCCUGGGGGAAGCCACCGCCCGCCAGCCGAUCGGAGAGGCCGCGUCCUACACCCCGAGCAGGUCGGAGGAGACCGAGAGGGACGGCAUCUCCUACCAGCGGGUCUGCCAGGCUCGCCCGGCCCCGCCCCCCAUGCGGGUGGAGCCGCGCCGCGCCAUCCACCCCCUGCCCCGCGGGGGGCCGGGCGGGGCCGCAGGGGGAGGCUCCCGGCGCUUCCUGCCUCUCUGGCUUCAGCUGCUGCUCUUCGGGGUGCUCGCGGCCUUCCUGGUCUACGUGUACUGCGCCCUGCAGGGCGGCGCCGACGACAACCCGUUCGCGCUGCACCAUGAGGAGUGAGGGGGCGCCCGGCCUGUCCCCUCCCCCAUGGGCCCACGACCCAUUGCCCUGCCCCCCGACGCCCACGUCCCGUCUCUCAGCCCCCCUGUCCCGUCCCCCUCCUCCCCA